rnacentral:rRNA from 1 species
UACGUAGGGCGCAAGCGUUGUCCGGAUUCACUGGGCGUAAAGGGUGCGUAGGCGGGUCUUUAAGUCAGGGGUGAAAUCCUGGAGCUCAACUCCAGAACUGCCUUUGAUACUGAAGAUCUUGAGUUCGGGAGAGGUGAGUGGAACUGCGAGUGUAGAGGUGAAAUUCGUAGAUAUUCGCAAGAACACCAGUGGCGAAGGCGGCUCACUGGCCCGAUACUGACGCUGAGGCACGAAAGCGUGGGGAGCAAACAGG